CGUUUGUGCCAAGCAAAACCGUUAUGAUUAGUCUUGGGGAUGAUCGUUUGGUCAUGCUGGAAAAGACAGAAACUUUCUGCUCACGAAAAGAAUUUUCAUUUUUUUUCUGUAAGAGAUUUUGAGUUGAUUCUUUUUGCUGCUGAUUGCUACGCACAUUCUUCAGAUUGUCGUAAUAUGUCAGAAGUUUUGAAGUACCAGAGGUAUACGAAACAUACAUAUUGCUACAGACUGGUCUGCUGUUAAUAGAUUCUGUUUUUGUUGUGUUGGUUGCUUAUUUUACUGAAACUAUGGAUAGUAUCGGGGGGUAUUAGCCAUGGAAGAUUGAAAGUACAGUAGCCCAACAUCAGCACAAGUAGAAUUUAAGUUUGCUACAGUACCUAAGGAAGUGGUGGUUUGCGUUCUUGUACUAAUGUUAUCACGAGUUUCUGUUUAAGUUUCGUGUUGUGAAGUUUUCAAGUUUUGGGUGAAGUUCUUACGGACAAAAAGAUAAAGAGUGGCAAGAGCUCAAGCUUGGGGAUGCCCAAGGCACCCCAAGAGAGUCAAGGAUGCCGUAAAAGCCUAAGCUUGGGGA
rnacentral:lncRNA from 1 species